AUACGGAGGGUCCAAGCGUUGUUCGGAAUCAUUGGGCGUAAAGCGGGUGUAGGCGGCUUGACAAGUCGGAUGUGAAAUCCCAGGGCCCAACCCUGGAACUGCAUUCGAAACUGUCUCGCUAGAGUCGCGGAGAGGAUGGCGGAAUUCCCGGUGUAGGGGUGAAAUCCGUAGAUAUCGGGAGGAACACCAGUGGCGAAGGCGGCCACCUGGACGAGUAUUGACGCUGAGACGCGAAAGCAUGGGGAGCAAACAGGAUUAGAAACCCCAGUAGUCC
rnacentral:rRNA from 1 species